rnacentral:rRNA from 1 species
GUAAAUUUCCGGGUUAAGAUGGAUUCGCGUCUGAAUUAGUUUAUUUGUUGGGGGCACCGGCCUUCCCAAGGGCGACGAUCAUUAAGCCGGUUUGAGAGGGAUGAACGGCCACAUUGGAACUGAGACACGGUCCAGACUCCUUCGGGAGGCAGCAGUGGGGAAUCUUCCGCAAUGGGCGAAAGCUUGACGGAGCAACGCCGCGUGAGUGAAGAAGGUCUUCGGAUCGUAAAGCUCUGUUGUCGGGGACGAAUGUUGAGGCCUAGAACAUAGGUUUCAAAUGACGGUACCUGACGAGGAAGCCACGGCUAACUACGUGCCAGCAGCCGCGGUAAUACGUAGGUGGCGAGCGUUGUCCGGAAUUAUUGGGCGUAAAGGGAGCGCAGGCGGGAAGGUAAGUCUAUCUUAAAAGUGCGGGGCUCAACCCCGUGAGGGGAUAGAAACUAUCAUUCUUGAGUAUCGGAGAGGCAGGCGGAAUUCCUAGUGUAGCGGUGAAAUGCGUAGAUAUUAGGAGGAACACCAGUGGCGAAGGCGGCCUGCUGGACGACAACUGACGCUGAGGCGCGAAAGCGUGGGGAGCAAACAGGAUUAGAUACCCUGGUAGUCCACGCUGUAAACGAUGAAUACUAGGUGUGGGAGGACUGACCCCUUCCGUGCCGCAGUUAACACAAUA